UCCCUUGAAACUGCUUUCAUUGAGGUC
rnacentral:piRNA from 1 species